CGGAGCGCGAACGAUCUGGAUUUGGUGAAGUCAAGUGGAAAGCGUGCAAUCGUUGUGCGUGUAUGUUUCAUUGUACGUGCGUGAAAUUUGGAGAAAAUCACGGCACGGGCUGAUGUAAAGGCUCUUUCUGGUGCCCACCCGGAAACACAACUGCUUAGGAGCUUUUGUUUAAGAACAACUUACAUCGUGUGCCCACUCGUCUAGUGUUCCACUGUCCCACAGAAUUUUGCAGCAUCGAGGCAUCGCAGACAGAACCUACGAUACACCGCUACGCACGCGCGCACAUUCUAGCUAACAGGACAGGAGAGAUGGAGUCACCAUUGGGACAGGAUGAAUUAGCAACCCAGCGCUUGCGGGUGGUGUGCUACAUCCAGCGGCUGCGCUGCAUGAUUGGCGCGGUGCAGUCCGGUACGCUGGGCAAAACGUUUACCGCCCGCAACGGGGCGCUGCGCGACCAGGCCUUCAAGGUAACCACCGUGGCCGAGCUGGAGCACAUAGUGGACCACAUCUUCCAGCUGCAGAAGGAGGUGCUGACAAUAGUGUCGAGCCAGUACGAGACCGACCAGCCGAUGCUGUGGGAACAGUACGAGGAGUGAGCGAGAACGCAGCGAUGUUGCCUGUUACCAGAUCGUUCACGCAAUAACCUCAAGCAGACUUUUUUUUUUCUUACGAUUAGAACGUAUUUUCGUUCAUUAUUACUGAUCAUCUUUCGAUUGCCUUGACCUUGGACUGAGCGUGACGCUACUUGCAGCAUAGGAGGAUAUAAGAUAUAAGAAGAAGAAGAACAUUCGCGGUGCAACUUCCAAAGAGGAACUUUUUGCAUCUGCAAUCAUACAGCUGGAAUUCAAAACAUCGAUUUGACAAGGAUUUGGUAACCGGUUGGAAACAUUGUGAAAAAAAAAAUGAAAUAAUGUAUAAUGCUAUAAGCAUUUCAGUUUAUAUUUCUCUAUUCAUUAAAGUUAUCUUUUACAUCGUUUUUUUUUAGGGACGAAAGCGUCAAAAACGCUAUCAUCCAACACAUUUAAAUGCGUUUGCCUUACGAACGUUGAGACCCGUGUUUUGUUUUUUGAGAAUGUUGUGAUAACGUAUGAGGGCCAAAUUGCAAGGACCAGAAUUACCAGAAUUAUGCAGGAAUUUGUUUAUUUUAUUAUGAAUAUGAUUUGUUCGUAGUUGUUAGCUACAGGAACGUUUUCGGAUGCAUUUGCAAAGCAAAAUGGAAUCUAAAUGACACCAGCUUAACAUGAAUUCAGCUUUGAGCGUAAAUACACGCUGUGCGCAGAAUUAGAACAGAAGAGGGGAAGAAUUAUUUUAGGAAUGUAUUAUAGAAUCAUUAGUAUUCCUUUAUUGCUUAAGAAAGAAGAAUUUGUUAAGAGAAGGAAGCACAAUUUUAUUUGUU